CACCAGCGCCACGAGUGGCCACCGCGAUUAUUGGGCCUAAAGCGUCCGUAGUCUGCCUCGCACAUCCUCUGUGAAAUCGCUGCGCUUAACGUAGCGGCACGCGGGGGACACGGUGAGGCUUGAGAGCGGGAGGCGUGAAGAGUACUCUUGGGGGACCGGUAAAAUGGUAUAAUCCCAAGAAGACUACCUGUGGCGAAGGCGCUUCACGAGAACGCAUCUGACGAUGAGGGACGAAAGCCAGGGGAGCAAACCG
rnacentral:rRNA from 1 species